AUUGAACGCUGGCGGCAAGCUUAACACAUGCAAGUAGAACGAGUGGCGGACGGGUGAGUAAUGUCUGGGAAACUGCCUGAUGGAGGGGGAUAACUACUGGAAACGGUAGCUAAUACCGCAUACCAUCGGAUGUGCCCAGAUGGGAUUAGCUAGUAGGAGGGGUAAAGGCUCACCUAGCCGACGAUCCCUAGCUGGUCUGAGAGGAUGACCAGCAACACGGGAACUGAAGCACGGUCCAGAAGCCUACGUGAGGAAGCAGUGGGGAGUAUUGCACAAUGGGCGCAAGCCUGAUGCAGCCAGGACGCGUGUAUGAAGAGGGCCUUCGGGUUGUAAAGUACGUGCAGCGGGGAGGCGUUACCCGCAGAAGAAGCGCCGGCUAACUCCGUGCCAGCAGCCGCGGUAAUUC
rnacentral:rRNA from 1 species